AAAAAGAAAAAGAGAAAAGGGCUCAAAGGCGAGCGAGUGCAUCGACCAAAACCCGGGGGCGGGGCUUAGUGGAAACAAGUUUUUGAGAUUUUUGCAAUGGCGAUGGAUGCUGGAUCAUCGUCCUCCCAAGAAAACCAAUCAUCUCCUUCCUAUCACCAUGAAUCUUCUUCAUCAAAACCUCAAUCAUUGGAAGACUUAGCUAAGCCUUGGGCUGAAUACGCUGCUCAACAGGCGCUGCUAUACCAACGGGCUAUCGACCACUCUUUGGAGUCUGCCAUCGAAGCCUCCAAAUCUCGCCUUUCUCAGAUUCGUUCCACCUCCUAUCCUCAUUUCCAGAAGGCAAUUGAUUCCUUUUGGGAGGCAAAGUCCGAACUUGCAGCUUAUGAGAAUUUAGUAUUUGGAAAAAUUAGAGAUGGUAUUCUUGUUGCUGCAUCACAUCCACUGAUCAGUUGUGGAGUUGCAACUGGCAUGGGUUUCUUAGUCUUUAAAAAGCCCAGAAGUUUCUUAUACUACAAAACUGUUCGACUUUUCAUGAAUGAAGAGUCCUUACUUUCCAAAGCUGAUGCUAAAGUAAAAGAGUUGCGGCAGUCAAUUGAUCGGAUAAAGGUUGAAAGUGAGAGGCUGGAGAAAAGAACACUUCAAGCUGAAGAGGAAUUGAUACGAGGAAGAACAAAACUCAGGCAAGCAGGAAAACAAAUUGAAGGUGUGAUUCAGUCGGCUCAUAAAAUUGAAAGAAAGGCAAGAGGUUUAAAAGAUAUUCUUGCAGAUCUUCCCACUAGGGAAGCUUCGCGAUUUAGGACUCAGGUAUCUAACCUUGCUUCUGAGGCAAAGAAGGAAAGAAUUGGGUUGAGCAAGGAGGUCUCAAAAAUAAGCAACUAUGGCAUCUCCGUCUGAUAAAUUCAAAUCAAACAUUCGGCUCGGCCUCAACAAUAUUACUCCAUCCCAAAAUUCACUUGGAAGCUGACGCAUAAGGAUAGAGUGAGUUUCUCAUGGACCUACGUUGGAGAGGAAGUAACUUCAUUGAGAAAGUUGAACCCGAGAGAGUUUAAGACCAAUUUUACUGUCUAGGAGUUCGUUUCUUCGAGAUAUUGAGAAGUACUUGGACUCCCUAUGAUAAUUUUUGAAGUCGGGAAUGAUGCUAGUGCUUCAAGUAAGUGAUUCGAGUAAAUCAUAAAUCAAUUUGAGCAUAGCGCUUGUGUUAAUUGACUGAUUGGUUACGUAAGAAACUAUACCAUUUGUACAAAUUCAAGUUUGAUUGUUUCAACCAAUAUACAUUUCUCUAAAAAUAUCACGUUAACAAUAUUUAUUA